rnacentral:rRNA from 1 species
GAUGAACGCUGUCUGCGUUCCUAAUACAUGCAAGUCGAGCGAACAGAUGAGGAGCUUGCUCCUCUGACGUUAGCGGCGGACGGUGGAGUAACACUUUGAUAACCUACCUAUAAGACUGGGAUAACUUCGGGAAACCGGCGCUAAUACCGGAUAAUAUAUUUAACCGCAUUGUUCAAUAUUGAAAGACGGUUUUGCUGUCACUUAUAGAUGGAUCCGCGCCGCAUUAGCUAGUUGGUAAGGUAACGGCUUACCAAGGCAACGAUGCGUAGCCGACCUGAGAGGGUGAUCGGGCACACUGGAACUGAGAAACGGUACAGACGCCUACGGGAGGCAGCAGUAGGGAAACUUACGCAAUGGGCGAAAGCCUGACGGAGCAACGACGCGUGAGGGAUGAAGGUCUUCGAAUCGUAAAACUCUGUUAUUAGGGAAGAACAAAUGUGUAAGUAACUAUGCAAGGCGUGACGGUACCUAAUCAGAAAGCCACGGCUAAAUACGUG